GCUGGCGGCGUGCUUAACACAUGCAAGUCGAAUGUAGCAAUACAUGGCGGACGGGUGAGUAACGCGUGGGCAACCUGCCCUUAUCUGGGGGAUAACAGUUGGAAACGACUGAUAAUACCGCAUAAUAUGGUUUGAAGGCAUCUUCUUUCCAUCAAAGAUUUAUCUGAUAAGGAUGGGCCCGCGUCUGAUUAGCUUGUCGGUGAGGUAACGGCUCACCAAGGCGACGAUCAGUAGCCGACCUGAGAGGGUGAUCGGCCACAUUGGAACUGAGACACGGUCCAAACUCCUACGGGAGGCAGCAGUGGGGAAUAUUGGGCAAUGGAGGAAACUCUGACCCAGCAACGCCGCGUGAAUGAUGAAGGUCUUCGGAUUGUAAAGUUCUUUUCUAAGGGAAGAAGAAAGUGACGGUACCUUAGGAAUAAGCCUCGGCUAACUACGUGCCAGCAGCCGCGGUAAUACGUAGGAGGCAAGCGUUAUCCGGAAUGACUGGGCGUAAAGGGUGCGUAGGUGGUUUGGCAAGUUAGUAGCGUAACUCCGGGGCUCAACUCCGGAACUACUACUAAAACUGUCGGACUUGAGUGCAGGAGGGGCAAUUGGAAUUCCUAGUGUAGCGGUGGAAUGCGUAGAUAUUAGGAAGAACACCAGUGGCGAAAGCGAAUUGCUGGACU
rnacentral:rRNA from 1 species